GCUGCUGAUAGGUUCAUCUAGAAGUGAAAACAGCGUUUAUUAACGCCGCUGCGCGAAGGCGCCGCGCUCCACUCACUCGCCGCUCCUGCUGGAUUUACAACACCAAAACCGUCUCCGUCGGAUUGUUUCUGCGCAAUUCCUGCUCGCACCGUCCGCGGACGAGCGUCUGCGAGGCAGCCGGAGCUGAUGAGAUGAUUCCACACAUCUGUGGCCAGUGAUUUCUCGCAACAAUUUGUUGCAGAUUUGAGGAGAAGUGACGAUGCCGGUGUCACCGUGAGAGAGAACUUUCUUGUCUUCGGCAGCUCCCGCUUUGUUUUCCUUUAGAUGUUUCCGACUCGGACCGCGGUUUCCUGGGAGACAGUCCGCCGUUUUCCUUUUCAAGUAUGUUCACUUUUGCUGCCUUCUGCUACAUGCUGUCGCUGGUCCUCUGUGUCUCCCUCAUCUUCUUCGCGAUAUGGCACAUAACUGCUUUCGAUGAGCUGCAGGCGGACUUCAAGGUGCCCAUCGAUCAAGGAAAUCCACUCCACGCGCGGGAGAGACUGCGAAACAUCGAGAGGAUCUGCAAUCUGCUGAGGAAGUUGGUGCUGCCGGAGUAUUCCAUCCAUGUGCUGUUCUGCAUCAUGUUCCUGUGUGCGCAGGAGUGGCUGACCGUGGGCCUCAACGUUCCGCUGCUCUUCUACAACACAUGGAGUAGGUACUUCCAUUCGCCGACCGACACCAAGGAGCUGCUGUACGACCCGGCGUCGGUGAUGAACGGCGACACGCUCAAGUUCUGCCUGAAGGAGGCCUGGUGCAAGCUGUCCUUCUUCGUCCUGUCCUUCUUCUACUAUCUCUACUGUGUGUGGAACCUGGAUAUAUCCCUCUAAUAGCUCUUUUCAUUGGGAACACUGAAAGCUCCAACUCACGCUGGAGUCAUCUGCUGCACCAGAGGCAGCAGCAUCAGCAGUGAGUAUGAUCUACUCCUUGGUUACCUCAUAACUUGUCAGCGACUACAGAGACUGAAAAGACAGGACGUUCAAAAGGGGAGAAAGAAAACCUGUGUGAGCUUUUCCUGGGGAAGAAGAAGGACAUGAUUCUGGAAUGAACUGUUUACAGCGUUUCGUGUUGUUAGGAGAGUGAAGUAUAUCACUGCCUGGUUUGUACCAUACACCCACACGGUCUUGCACUCACACACACACACACACACACACACACACAGAGCCUCCUGGAUAGGUUUCUGUGUCCGGUAGCAGCGACAGUAGCCCGGAGGACAAAGAGCACAGUAGCGUUUGCACAGUUUGUCUCAGGCACAGCAAAGGUGAAGCACUGACCAGCUGCACGGCUCACCGACCCUCAGUCCCCCCCUCUUCAGGCCCUCGCCUGUCAGUCACAAGCGAGGGGCGGAUGACACUGUACAGUAACAAGGGAAUCUUUUCUCUCUUUGAACAUUAUGUGAAUGGCUUUGUGACGUGUGCAUUUUGGGUGUCUUCCUCUCUCCAGCUACGGAGGUGGACCAUACCGCAAAAUGCCUUCUUGGUGUCGUUCUAUAGUGUCGUUCUAUUAUGGGAAACUUUUCUGACGCUCCCACUGAAGUGAAAGCUUUUAUAUUAGAGGCACACAUUCCUUGCACACGUAGAGAGAGCACAAUUUUGGCAAUAUUUGGCAGUUACGGUUACCUUACAGUCGUCUAACCACACCAAUAAAGGUCUUCCAGUAUGCUAACAACAACCCAGCCCUGUUUGAAAACAGCUACGUCCAACUUUUAUAGCUCGAUUUACACCGUGGACCAAAAUCAUCUUUUCAGUGGAGUCCAUUUCUCAUGUGGGCAUCUCCCCCCUCAUUGUUUCUCCAACACUGUCCCAUCUGUAUAAACGCAGCGGCCGUUUCAUUCACGCAAUUUAUGUCAAGCUGUCUGAUUUUGCUCAGAGGCACCGAAGCAGGGUGAAGAAAUGACAGCGUGGACCUCGGGUUCAUGUGUAGCACAGUCUUCUGACCGCCAUGUCGCCGCGCUCCAUUCCGGUUUUAUUUUCUGGCAUUCAAUCAUUUUCUAUCCUUGUGUAUGUGACCAAUUAUGAUUCGAAUAUUUAUGAAAUAAAAGUAUUUUAAAACCAAAAAUCCUGGCU